UACGGGGGGGGCAAGCGUUGUUCGGAAUUACUGGGCGUAAAGGGCUCGUAGGCGGCCAACUAAGUCAGACGUGAAAUCCCAGGGCUCAACUCUGGACAGGCGGUGGAAACUACCAAGCUCGAGUACGGUAGGGGCAGAGGGAAUUUCCGGUGGAGCGGUGAAAUGCGUUGAUAUCGGAAGGAACGCCGGUGGCGAAAGCGAGCUGCUGGACCUUUUCUGACGCUGAGGCGCGAAAGCCAGGGGAGCAAACGGG
rnacentral:rRNA from 1 species